UACGUAGGGGCCAAGCGUUGUCCGGAUUUAUUGGGCGUAAAGAGCUCGUAGGCGGUUCGGCAAGUCAGCUGUGAAAUCUCCACGCUCAACGUGGAGGGGUCAGCUGAUACUGCUGUGACUCGAGUCCGGUAGGGGAGUGUGGAAUUCCCGGUGUAGCGGUGAAAUGCGCAGAUAUCGGGAGGAACACCGGUGGCGAAGGCGGGUCUCUGGGCCGAUACUGACGCUGAGGCACGAAGGUCAGGGGAGCAAACGGG
rnacentral:rRNA from 1 species